GACGAACGCUGGCGGCGUGCUUAACACAUGCAAGUCGAACGAAGAGCGAUGGAAGCUUGCUUCUCUCAAUCUUAGUGGCGAACGGGUGAGUAACGCGUAAUCAACCUGCCCUUCAGAGGGGGACAACAGUUGGAAACGACUGCUAAUACCGCAUACGAUCUAAUCUCGGCAUCGAGGAUAGAUGAACGGUGGCCUCUACAUGUAAGCUAUCACUGAAGGAGGGGAUUGCGGCUGAUUAGCUAGUUGGAGGGGGAAAGGACCACCAAAGCGAUGAUCAGUAGCCGGUCUGAGGAGAUGAACGGCCACCUUGGGACUGAGACACGGCCCAGACUCCUACGGGAGGCAGCAGUGGGGAAUCUUCCGCAAUGGACGAAAGUCUGACGGAGCAACGCCGCGGGAGUGAUGACGGCCUUCGGGUUGUAAAGCUCUGUUAAUCGGGACGAAAGGCCUUCUUGCGAAUAGUGAGAAGGAUUGACGGUACCGGAAUAGAAAGCCACGGCUAACUACGUG
rnacentral:rRNA from 1 species